AAACCGGCUCUCUCUCCCCGGUAUCUCACCGCUGCGUCAGUGCAGUUAGGCAUCAGCAAAUUAAUGAGAGGAGAGAGGAGGCCCCUGCUCUCGGGCACCCGCAGGAACUUACUCCAGCUCCAGACACACCGUAAACACUUUCAUCUAAUGGAAGAUAAGCUGUGAAAUCGGAUUUCUGAACCACAAGACACUUGUGUAAAAACUGCAUUCCAUGCCAGGCCUGAAAUGUUCCAAAGCUCAGUUUGGUGAGUAAAUUGCAACCAAGAUUUCUACACACACCAAAAAAA